rnacentral:rRNA from 1 species
UUAUCCGAAAUUAUUGGGCGUAAAGCGCGCGUAGGCGGUUUUUAAGUCUGAUGUGAAAGCCCACGGCUCAACCGUGGAGGGUCAUUGGAAACUGGAAAACUUGGGUGCAGAAGAGGAAAGUGGAAUUCCAUGUGUAGCGGUGAAAUGCGCAGAGAUAUGGAGGAACACCAGUGGCGAAGGCGACUUUCUGGUCCGUAACUGACGCUGAUGUGCGAAAGCGUGGGGAUCAAACAGGAUUAGAUACCCUGGUAGUCAAGGGCG